GAUGAACGCUGGCGGCGUGCCUAAUACAUGCUAGUCGAGCGAACAGACGAGGAGCUUGCUCCUCUGACGUUAGCGGCGGACGGGUGAGUAACACGUGGAUAACCUACCUAUAAGACUGGGAUAACUUCGGGAAACCGGAGCUAAUACCGGAUAAUAUAUUGAACCGCAUGGUUCAAUAGUGAAAGACGGUUUUGCUGUCACUUAUAGAUGGAUCCGCGCCGCAUUAGCUAGUUGGUAAGGUAACGGCUUACCAAGGCAACGAUGCGUAGCCGACCUGAGAGGGUGAUCGGCCACACUGGAACUGAGACACGGUCCAGACUCCUACGGGAGGCAGCAGUAGGGAAUCUUCCGCAAUGGGCGAAAGCCUGACGGAGCAACGCCGCGUGAAUGAUGAAGGUCUUCGGAUCGUAAAACUCUGUUAUUAGGGAAGAACAAAUGUGUAAGUAACUAUGCACGUCUUGACGGUACCUAAUCAGAAAGCCACGGCUAACUACGUG
rnacentral:rRNA from 1 species